AUUUAAUUCUUUUGGGAAGACACCCAGCAGGGGAAUAGCUGGCUCAAAUGGCACCCCUAAUCCUAGUUUUUUGAGGUAUCUCCAUACUGAUUUCCACAGAGGUUGCACCAGUCGGCACUUGAUAGCUUGUCUUUUAAUUCUACUUAUCUUUUACUAAAAGAUUUGGAAUUUUACUCGCUCAGUUGUCAAUGUUUCCUUUCUGCAUUUGGUGAAAAAGAGCCUCUUCUGUACGAAGCUAGACCUUGUGGAGGGAGACCCUUUUCUAAGUGGCAAGUAACUGCUGUGUAGGCGGUUAAAGCUCUGUAACCAGGUUGGGGAUGAGUCCCCCUCCGUAUUUUAAUUUGAAGUCCGGAUUCUCACAUGUGUGCUACAGACACGCGAGAGCAGGUGCCACCAGGUGGCGCUGUGGCGAAGCCUAGUUCCACCCGGCGCUCACGCAGCCGCGCGCAGUUUCAUCCCCAGCCCGGGGCGGGAGACUUCGCCCAACUCGGCAGGAAGAGUUCUCGGAGCGAGCCGGGAAACUCGCCCGCUGCCCAGCCCUCACCCAGGCCGAGUGGAAGCCUGUUUCACGUUCCGGCUGGGGAACGCCGGUGGGUUCUCGCUCGCAGAAGCCUGCAGCC
rnacentral:lncRNA from 1 species